GAGGAAGCGGACUAAUUGUUAUCAUUCCACUGCUUCGGGAUUGAUCACCUGAAAAACACAAUGAGCCGCUCGAUCAGGAGGGACACUGGGUGAUUUUUUUGAGGGAAUCCAAUCAAGUGGCCAGUGAAGUCAGAAGGAACUGAUUGGACCAGCAGCGAAGUGCAAGGCAGAGGACAAAAUGUGUGUGAGGCACUGGCUCAGUCACCAAAGGGUUUUAGUGGCUUCUGGAAAUGUAAACUGGCUGAACCUGACCAUGUCAGUGCUGCCCCACCUCCCAAGUACCCCAUCUGUUCUGACUGGUCAGCUCACACACCUGAGUCAGCACCACUUACCUGUCUGUGGUCGGCUCUGUCGUGUCUUCAGCUUACAGUCAGCUUCACUUGUCCUGGAAUAUAAGUGUAAACUGUGCAAAUGUUUGACAUGGUGAGGAAAUGUGAUGUCACAAAGUCACGGAAAUAAAUGC